GCUGCGACGGGGGUGGUGCCAAAAGAGUCUGGAAAGGUCAGCAUGAUGUCCCCAGAUGAACGCCAUGUGUCACUAAUGAUUGAUGAAAUUGAGCUGUCGCCAAGUCUGGUUUACGACCCAUCAACUGGAAGGAUCUUGGGCAAGCCAACCCUUCUUCUUGCGGAUGGUAGCAUCCCGGAAAAGCGUCUUGCCAGACACGGCCCUGUAUUUAUGCUUGGCUGACUGACCAUAAGGUGGAAGCAGACUAUUGCAUACCAUUUUACUGGAAAGUCUUUCAGUGCUAUGAGUGGGAAAGAGAGCAUCCCGGUUCCGGGAGGAUCCCCUGGUGCCCCCUCCUUCCACUGCAGAUGCUGCCCCACCUGCAGUCCCGCCGGCUCUGUUCCGGAGCCAUCUGUUUAUGGUCCUGCCAGCCCGGACACCACGCAUCCGAAUCCCGAGGGUCAGCGUGCAGCCUAUGGCCUCAGUUCCUCUCCUUGAGGUUCCUCCUGCAGCUGGUGGUCCCUUCCCUAAGGGUCCUCCUGAGAUAGAGGAACCUGUGCUCGAGCAGGUGUGCUCUGGCACCCGAGCAGAAGCUGUCCCCUGGGACAUCAGCGGAUGGCAGCUGGUCAUCCAGCUACAGUGACACGGCGACUGAAGGUUCAACGUCCAGCACCUCCUUUGACAGUGCCAGUCCUGUUACCUGUGGAAGUGUCAUCACACAGCGUGUCUACCCCCGGACCGGAGUCCCCAGAGACCCAGAGUCCAGACACCUCUACUCGGCGGCAAGAGGGUCGUCCGCAGCGGUCUCGGUGGCUGCCGGAUCUUAAAGACUAUUUCGUAAAUUUAUAGUACUACAGCUGAAGUGUUGGUGAUAUACAGGACAUAGAAUUUUGAUGUGACAUGAACUACUGGACUCCUCUACCCAGAACCGUCGUUUUUUUUUGGUGGUAACUGCAAAGACAAUUCAAGAUGACAUGCCUUGUUUGUUUUUUUCAGUGCUUCCGCAUGCCAAUGGACUGUUUUUUUAUUCUCCCCAUAUCAUACUUUGAAGUGUUUGGUUUCUUUUUCUCAAAACAUGGGGCAGUGAAAGUUGUGUAACUGGCGACUCGCACAGUGUUUUGCCCAAUGUGUCUUUUUUUUUUUUUUCUCAACGUUUGUUUUCUUCUGCCCCUAAGGCUUUGGGCUUACGAGGUGGUAUGUGUAUUACAACUGCAUUUAUUGUUACUUAGGAGAUAUUGUCACGAGUGUUGUAGUCUGUAUUAAUUUUUGCAUUUUCUAUUUUGUUCUAAGGUUAGAAUUUUUCUUUUUAAAGGGGCCCUGCAAUCACAUUUAAGCGUCUACCUUUUUUGCGGUUUCCACGUCUCUUGGGGUUCGGGCAAGCCAGCGGGCACGGAGAGAGUAACUAAAUAUCAGUGAGUAAUAUUUUAACCGGACGACGCGGAAACCUCCUUCCACCGACGAGGGCGACCCACAGUACCGAAAGCGUGCAAAAUGUGACGUCUUUGGUCCUGGGCUUACUACUGGUCAGACCCGCUAAAAGCUUUUUCUUUUGAGAUACAAAAAAUAAGUGCCGUGAACCGUUUCUAUUAUGUAUUACAGUAGUUUUUGUUCAGUAUUUUAGAUCAGAAAAGGAACAAAGGCAGUUCAUAAAGUACGGAAAAAAGAAAAGACCCGUCGACAAACCCGCCACCAAGCAGCAGAAAAAACGGCGCAUACUAGAAAGGGCUAGUGCAUGGGUGGCCAAGGUGCGGCUCCUCGCGUGUUAAAGUGCGGCUCGCAAUUCCCUCCUCUGCGCUCCCCCCCCCCCCCCCCCCCACGGCCACCCUCCCGGUCACACGAAAACUUCCCCAAAAAGUGAAAUGGAACGCGUUUUAAAUCGAAAGGCAGGUUGCAAUUUGGUCGGUUUGUGCUACCUUACGUACAAAUGAACUGCUUUUGACUCGGAUAGAUUGAAAGAAGUUUGAGUUUCAUUUAUUGUUCUGGACAAAAGUUUGCACCCCCCUUCCCCUGUGGCUCUUGGAAGUUUUGUGGUGUUGUUGGCAGCUCUUAGGCAGGGUCAGCUUGGCCGUCCCUGGGCUAGUGGGAUGAGGCUCCGACGAACGGCCAGCGUAGAAAUGUCCUGGAUGUUAGGGCGGCGCUGCGGUUGUAUACCGGCUCGAGGAUCCGACCGGUUCCGAGCAUUCCGAAGGCUUUCGGUGCGGGCUUGGCUGGCGAUUUGUCCAUUUGGCGGUAUAGCAGCGCAAAAUGGCACCUGUUUUGAACUGAUCUUUAUUCUGUGUUUGCUGUCGUUUGUGGCCAAUGAAGUGCUAUGCCGAAUUAAUCUUUAAUCGCGC